rnacentral:rRNA from 1 species
UACGGGGGGAGCAAGCGUUGUUCGGAAUUACUGGGCGUAAAGCGUGCGUAGGCGGUUCGUUAAGUUCGUUGUGAAAGCCCCGGGCUCAACCUGGGAAUGGCAAUGGAAACUGGCGGGCUGGAGUAUGGCAGAGGGGGGUGGAAUUCCGGCGUGUAGCAGUGAAAUGCGUAGAGAUGCGGAGGAACACCGAUGGCGAAGGCAGCCCCCUGGGCCAAUACUGACGCUCAGGCACGAAAGCGUGGGGAGCAAACAGG